rnacentral:miRNA from 1 species
CUUCCAGUCGACGAGGUACAAGUACCUCGCCGGCUGGAAGGAAACCCUUCCAGUCGACGAGGUACAAGUACCUCGCCGGCUGGAAG